UUCUAAUUAGUCAAAUGCAUUGGACUCUGAAAUAUAUUAACCAUAGAAACACUAAGAAAGCUAUUUACUGCUUUUAAGCAAUUUUUUGUUUGUUUUACCCUCUUUUGGGAGAAAAUGGGUAUAAGUGUUGUCUAAAUAUUCCUACUCCAUCUCUAACUCUUAUGAUUAGUCAAAUGCAUUGGAUUGUGACACAUUUUGAACAUAGAAACACUAACUAAGCUAUUUACUGCUUCUUAGCAAUUUUUUGUUGGUUUUAACCUCUUUUGGGAGAAAAUGUGUAUAAGUUUUGUCUAAACACUCCUAAUCUAUCUCUAACUCUUAUAAUUAUUCAAAUGCAUUGGAUUGUGAUAAAUUUUGACCAUUGAAACGCUAACAAAGCUG
rnacentral:sRNA from 1 species